GACACAUCACUGUUCUGGUUCCAGCCUUCCCAGGAUUGUAGUAAGCUUAGCCCGCCAGUUUGGCAUCUCCUGGUCGGCAUCAAGGAGGUGUUAAUAUCCAAAAUUUAAAUUUAAAUCCUCCUAACAGCCGCAACUGUCUCCCAAGAAGG